AUUUAAUCUCUCUCACAAAAUACGGCUUCUCGAUCUAAUAUCUCUCUACCUCCUCCAAGGAGCAGCGCUUGUAGCUCUCCAUCUCGAUCUCUCAGGCCAUCUAUAUAUUAUCAGCCAGCACUCUGCGUAUUGCUCCUUCAAACUCUGCGUAGCAACUCACCAAUUUUUUUGUUAAAAUAGCUAGUCGGAUUCAAUGAUUGGACAGGGCAUUGGGGUUGCUGGUGGAUUGGAGGCCAUAGCGUAUAUCCAUAAAAGCAAUCAACACUGGUUGGCUGCAUCCCACUAUUAAAAUUGUCAAAAGGAUAAAGGAGGUUAUGGAUUCGAAUCAAGCAUUCUGUAAUGAGUCUUGAAGGCAAUGUUGCCCUUUCAACGA